rnacentral:rRNA from 1 species
GACAAACGCUGGCGGCGUGCAUAAAACAUGCAAGUCGAACGGACCUCAGUCCGCAAGGACUGAAGUGAGUGGCGAACGGCUGAGUAACACGUAGGUGACCUGCCCCGAAGUUUGGGAUAACAACUCGAAAGAGUUGCUAAUACCGGAUGUGACCACCGAUUCAUUUCGGUGCUUAAAGUCGUAAGACGCUUUGGGAGGGGCCUGCGGCGGAUUAGCUAGUUGGUGUGGUAACGGCAUACCAAGGCUUCGAUCCGUAGCUGGUCUGAGAGGAUGGCCAGCCAGACUGGGACUGAGACACGGCCCAGACUCCUACGGGAGGCAGCAGUUAGGAAUUUUGCGCAAUGGAGGAAACUCUGACGCAGCCACGCCGCGUGAGGGAUGAAGGCCUUCGGGUCGUAAACCUCUUUUCUCAGGGAAGACACCCGACGGUACCUGAGGAAUAAGCAACGGCUAACUACGUGC